rnacentral:rRNA from 1 species
UACAGAGGGUGCGAGCGUUAAUCGGAAUUACUGGGCGUAAAGCGCGCGUAGGCGGCUUUGCAAGUCGAGUGUGAAAUCCCCAGGCUUAACCUGGGAACUGCAUUCGAGACUGCAUAGCUAGAGUAUGGGAGAGGGAAGUGGAAUUUCAGGUGUAGCGGUGAAAUGCGUAGAUAUCUGAAGGAAUAUCAGUGGCGAAAGCGACUUCCUGGACCAAUACUGACG